UACGAAGGGGGCUAGCGUUGCUCGGAAUCACUGGGCGUAAAGGGUGCGUAGGCGGGUCUUUAAGUCAGGGGUGAAAUCCUGGAGCUCAACUCCAGAACUGCCUUUGAUACUGAGGAUCUUGAGUUCGGGAGAGGUGAGUGGAACUGCGAGUGUAGAGGUGAAAUUCGUAGAUAUUCGCAAGAACACCAGUGGCGAAGGCGGCUCACUGGCCCGAUACUGACGCUGAUGGCACGAAAGCGUGGGGAGCAAACAGG
rnacentral:rRNA from 1 species